rnacentral:rRNA from 1 species
GACGUAGGGCGCGAGCGUUGUCCGGAUUUAUUGGGCGUAAAGAGCUCGUAGGCGGCUUGUCGCGUCGACUGUGAAAACUUGGGGCUCAACCCCGGACUUGCAGUGGGUACGGGCAGACUAGAGUGUGGUAGGGGAGACUGGAAUUCCUGGUGUAGCGGUGAAAUGCGCAGAUAUCAGGAGGAACACCGAUGGCGAAGGCAGGUCUCUGGGCCACUACUGACGCUGAGAAGCGAAAGCGUGGGGAGCGAACAGG